rnacentral:lncRNA from 1 species
GCCUCAUGUUACUAAGGCAGCCCAUGGAAAACAAUUUUUGGUGAGCACAGUGAGCACACUGGAGCAGUGCCCAGAGACGCUGUGGAAUCGCCUUCCUUGGACAUCUUCAAAACUCAGCUGGACAAGCCCUGAGCAACCUGCUUUAACUUUGAAGUUAACUCUACUUCUAGCAGGCAGUAGGACCGGAUAAACUCCAGCCAAUAUCAUGCUGAAAACUUCAGAGACAGGAAUGAGACUCAGAAUCCCAGUGCUUUGUUUGGUCUCUGCUGCUUCAUGCAAGGGUGGAGUGGAUAUCUCUGCUCUGACUGCUCCC